rnacentral:rRNA from 1 species
UGUAUAAUGGGUCAGCGACUUAUAUUCUGUAGCAAGGUUAACCGAAUAGGGGAGCCGAAGGGAAACCGAGUCUUAACUGGGCGUUAAGUUGCAGGGUAUAGACCCGAAACCCGGUGAUCUAGCCAUGGGCAGGUUGAAGGUUGGGUAACACUAACUGGAGGACCGAACCGACUAAUGUUGAAAAAUUAGCGGAUGACUUGUGGCUGGGGGUGAAAGGCCAAUCAAACCGGGAGAUAGCUGGUUCUCCCCGAAAGCUAUUUAGGUAGCGCCUCGUGAAUUCAUCUCCGGGGGUAGAGCACUGUUUCGGCAAGGGGGUCAUCCCGACUUACCAACCCGAUGCAAACUGCGAAUACCGGAGAAUGUUAUCACGGGAGACACACGGCGGGUGCUAACGUCCGUCGUGAAGAGGGAAACAACCCAGACCGCCAGCUAAGGUCCCAAAGUCAUGGUUAAGUGGGAAACGAUGUGGGAAGGCCCAGACAGCCAGGAUGUUGGCUUAGAAGCAGCCAUCAUUUAAAGAAAGCGUAAUAGCUCACUGGUCGAGUCGGCCUGCGCGGAAGAUGUAACGGGGCUAAACCAUGCACCGAAGCUGCGGCAGCGACGCUUAUGCGUUGUUGGGUAGGGGAGCGUUCUGUAAGCCUGCGAAGGUGUACUGUGAGGUAUGCUGGAGGUAUCAGAAGUGCGAAUGCUGACAUAAGUAACGAUAAAGCGGGUGAAAAGCCCGCUCGCCGGAAGACCAAGGGUUCCUGUCCAACGUUAAUCGGGGCAGGGUGAGUCGACCCCUAAGGCGAGGCCGAAAGGCGUAGUCGAUGGGAAACAGGUUAAUAUUCCUGUACUUGGUGUUACUGCGAAGGGGGGACGGAGAAGGCUAUGUUGGCCGGGCGACGGUUGUCCCGGUUUAAGCGUGUAGGCUGGUUUUCCAGGCAAAUCCGGAAAAUCAAGGCUGAGGCGUGAUGACGAGGCACUACGGUGCUGAAGCAACAAAUGCCCUGCUUCCAGGAAAAGCCUCUAAGCAUCAGGUAACAUCAAAUCGUACCCCAAACCGACACAGGUGGUCAGGUAGAGAAUACCAAGGCGCUUGAGAGAACUCGGGUGAAGGAACUAGGCAAAAUGGUGCCGUAACUUCGGGAGAAGGCACGCUGAUAUGUAGGUGAAGCGACUUGCUCGUGGAGCUGAAAUCAGUCGAAGAUACCAGCUGGCUGCAACUGUUUAUUAAAAACACAGCACUGUGCAAACACGAAAGUGGACGUAUACGGUGUGACGCCUGCCCGGUGCCGGAAGGUUAAUUGAUGGGGUUAGCGGUAACGCGAAGCUCUUGAUCGAAGCCCCGGUAAACGGCGGCCGUAACUAUAACGGUCCUAAGGUAGCGAAAUUCCUUGUCGGGUAAGUUCCGACCUGCACGAAUGGCGUAAUGAUGGCCAGGCUGUCUCCACCCGAGACUCAGUGAAAUUGAACUCGCUGUGAAGAUGCAGUGUACCCGCGGCAAGACGGAAAGACCCCGUGAACCUUUACUAUAGCUUGACACUGAACAUUGAGCCUUGAUGUGUAGGAUAGGUGGGAGGCUUUGAAGUGUGGACGCCAGUCUGCAUGGAGCCGACCUUGAAAUACCACCCUUUAAUGUUUGAUGUUCUAACGUUGGCCCCUAAUCGGGGUUGCGGACAGUGUCUGGUGGGUAGUUUGACUGGGGCGGUCUCCUCCUAAAGAGUAACGGAGGAGCACGAAGGUUGGCUAAUCCUGGUCGGACAUCAGGAGGUUAGUGCAAUGGCAUAAGCCAGCUUGACUGCGAGCGUGACGGCGCGAGCAGGUGCGAAAGCAGGUCAUAGUGAUCCGGUGGUUCUGAAUGGAAGGGCCAUCGCUCAACGGAUAAAAGGUACUCCGGGGAUAACAGGCUGAUACCGCCCAAGAGUUCAUAUCGACGGCGGUGUUUGGCACCUCGAUGUCGGCUCAUCACAUCCUGGGGCUGAAGUAGGUCCCAAGGGUAUGGCUGUUCGCCAUUUAAAGUGGUACGCGAGCUGGGUUUAGAACGUCGUGAGACAGUUCGGUCCCUAUCUGCCGUGGGCGCUGGAGAACUGAGGGGGGCUGCUCCUAGUACGAGAGGACCGGAGUGGACGCAUCACUGGUGUUCGGGUUGUCAUGCCAAUGGCACUGCCCGGUAGCUAAAUGCGGAAGAGAUAAGUGCUGAAAGCAUCUAAGCACGAAACUUGCCCCGAGAUGAGUUCUCCCUGACUCCUUGAGAGUCCUGAAGGAACGUUGAAGACGACGACGUUGAUAGGCCGGGUGUGUAAGCGCAGCGAUG